rnacentral:lncRNA from 1 species
AGCAAAAUGAAGGAGUUACAGCUAGAAGCUCAAUCUAGUGGUGUAAAUCGAACCGAAGAAGACAUCUGUAUUGAGGUGACUGGGCGUAUAACUGGAUAUGUACGUGGUCGUGGCCCCUCCAAGGCUAGUUUAAUUACACAAAAACUUGCAGAGAUAGAAGAAUUCAAGAAAAGGGCAGAACAAGCUGAGAAACGAUCAGUUGAAUUGGAAGUUCAAGUCCAAUCUCAACAGCAGCUGAUGCAAAGGCUUGAGAAUCAACAAGCUGAAAUGCAAAACCAGCAGCUUGAAAUGCAGGAACUCCUUAAGGCUUUACGAGCAGAAUUGCAGUCCAAGAACCAAGGCAAU